rnacentral:rRNA from 1 species
UUGUCUCAAAGAUUAAGCCAUGCAUGUCUCAGUACAAGCCAAAUUAAGGUGAAACCGCGAAAGGCUCAUUAAAUCAGUUAUGGUUCCUUAGAUCGUACCCACACUUACUUGGAUAACUGUGGUAAUUCUAGAGCUAAUACAUGCAAACAGAGCUCCGACCGGAGACGGAAGGAGCGCUUUUAUUAGAUCAAAACCAAUCGGUGGCGGGUCCGCUCGUCAUCGUAUAACUUGGUGACUCUGAAUAACUUUAAGCUGAUCGCACGGUCUAGCACCGGCGACGCAUCUUUCAAAUGUCUGCCUUAUCAACUGUCGAUGGUAGGUUCUGCGCCUACCAUGGUCGUAACGGGUAACGGGGAAUCAGGGUUCGAUUCCGGAGAGGGAGCCUGAGAAACGGCUACCACAUCCAAGGAAGGCAGCAGGCGCGCAAAUUACCCACUCCCGGCACGGGGAGGUAGUGACGAAAAAUAACGAUACGGGACUCAUCCGAGGCCCCGUAAUCGGAAUGAGUACACUCUAAACCCUUUAACGAGGAUCAAUUGGAGGGCAAGUCUGGUGCCAGCAGCCGCGGUAAUUCCAGCUCCAAUAGCGUAUAUUAAAGUUGUUGCGGUUAAAAAGCUCGUAGUCGAAUUUGUGUCCCGCGCCGCCGGUUCAUCGUCCGCGGUGUUAACUGGCGUGUCGCGGGACGUCCUGCCGGUGGGCUUAGCUCUUCGGGGCGGUCCAACUCAAUCCCGCCGCGGUGCUCUUUACUGAGUGUCGAGGUGGGCCGGCACGUUUACUUUGAACAAAUUAGAGUGCUUAAAGCAGGCUAAAACUUCGCCUGAAUACUGUGUGCAUGGAAUAAUGGAAUAGGACCUCGGUUCUAUUUUGUUGGUUUUCGGAACCCCGAGGUAAUGAUUAAUAGGAACGGAUGGGGGCAUUCGUAUUGCGACGUUAGAGGUGAAAUUCUUGGACCGUCGCAAGACGGACAGAAGCGAAAGCAUUUGCCAAAAACGCUUUCAUUGAUCAAGAACGAAAGUUAGAGGUUCGAAGGCGAUCAGAUACCGCCCUAGUUCUAACCAUAAACGAUGCCAGCUAGCGAUCCGCCGACGUUCCUCCGAUGACUCGGCGGGCAGCUUCCGGGAAACCAAAGCUUUUGGGUUCCGGGGGAAGUAUGGUUGCAAAGCUGAAACUUAAAGGAAUUGACGGAAGGGCACCACCAGGAGUGGAGCCUGCGGCUUAAUUUGACUCAACACGGGAAAUCUCACCAGGCCCGGACACCGGAAGGAUUGACAGAUUGAGAGCUCUUUCUUGAUUCGGUGGGUGGUGGUGCAUGGCCG